UUCAAGUACUGCUGCAAUUUUAAGGCUAUCUUUUGUAAACAAACAUUUGAAACAAACUAUAAGUUAUAACUUAAUCCAGAGACUGAUUCUCCUUGAAUCACUUAAAAAUUGUUGUUGUAUUCUUCAACAAAUUUUUUUGCAGGGCUGUAUUUCACACAUGGCAAGACAACUCAUUGGUAGGUAAGUUCAUAAGAUCCUUUGCACUUAAUUGUUAUUGAUUUACAUAUGUGGUUUGUGUGUAUGGAGUUCCGAACGAAUUCCGAGGAUUAUGAUCCUUUGCACUUAAUUGUUAUUGAUUUACAUAUGUGGUUUGUGUGUAUGGAGUUCCGAACGAAUUCUGAGGAUCCUUUCGAUGAUUUUUGUGUUGGCUGGUUUUCUGUGUUCUGGUGCAACACUCCGUGUUCGCAGAGCUUGUGGAUGUGUUCGUGAAUGGGAGGGGUGAGGACCUCGCAUUCGUGGAGUCUCGACCGCGUUCGCAGGAGGGACCUCCGCGUUCGUGGGAGACCUUUU
rnacentral:lncRNA from 1 species